GAACCAAAUGAUGAUUUUGGAUUCAAAUUCUCACGACGGUCGUCUGAGACGACGCUUUACGUGUCGAUAUUGAUGCAAUGAUCCAUUUCUUCUGAUGGCC